GUACAAGUUUAAGUUACAGCUUUGAUUACUGUAUUUAUUGGACCCAAAUUUAACGUGUUUGUUAAAGGUCAGUGUCCAGGUUUAGUUGCUUAGAAUUGAUAUCGAUUUGAAACAUGCAUUUAUUGGACCUAAAUCUAAAUACUUUAAUCACACUAACCUUUUAAACCUUUCAAACGUCAUGUACUUAUGUGAAUUUCUCAACGUUUUUGGUACAUUAAUUAGCUUGCCGACGUAUUUAUAUGGUGAAGCGACUGGUUGCAUAACUGGCACUAAGCACCGUGUUAUAUUCAAUAAUGUUUUCGCUGGAUGGAAGUAAGGUAUGGAUAAAUGCUUGACUCUUUGAAGUCAAAAGUCAACAUUUUUAAUUUGGAAGUUAAUGUAGUGUUUGUUACAAAAGCUACAACAAACCAAUCUUUGUGCCAUAUAUGUUAUAAGGGUUGAUUGACUUAUUUGAGAUUUUAUCCAAAACUUGAAAGAAUAUGUCAUUUUGAGGUCAAAAAUUGGUUUGUUCGACCUCAAAAGUAAUGCACAUUCUUACCCUGAUUUAUCUUUGGAUGACCUUGUCAGAUUGAACGAACAAGCUGAGAUUUCUAAGGAGAUCUGGUAUCUUUAAGUGAUUAUAUUAAUGAAUUUAUUUUAAUUAUAUCCUUAUGAAAAAGCAUAAUUCAACUUGAAAAUAUUGAUGAAAGGAAAAAUUGCAAAGUCUACCAGAGAUAUCAUACGAAAUGUAUUGUUUUAUGUUUAUCUAAUAUUGGCCUGUUGUAUUGUAGUGUUCAUAUAAGGAAGUUCGUCUUAAUGAGCCAGACAUGGGAGAUAAGAAGAAAUAGCUAAAAGAAGGCAUGGAUUGUAGUUUGCUAUUUUGGAAGGGAAAGGUUAUCGAUUUUGAGGUCCCAUUACAGGUUAAAGUGAAAAUAGUCGAGGUUGAUUCUCGUACGAAAGGUGACACGACAUCAGGUGGAUCAAAACCAGCAACUGUGAAACCAGUGCUAUUGAUUAUGUUCCUUUGUUGAUCAAUAAAUUAUCGUCGAUACACGAACAGGGCAGUACGUGAGUUGCGUAUGAGUAGCUGGAACACGUCAAUGAGUUUUUUUCUUGCAGUAAAAUGUUUGCUCAAUUAUGUCUGCAGGAGAAGUUAAUGUUUGCCCAAGGAGGUUGAGACGGAGAGCGUUAUAGUUAGCAUAAUGUAAAUAUAUUGAUUUACACAUAAGAAUGAAUAUCGAUAAAUUAAAGAAUUCAUGGUUAUGCUA